rnacentral:rRNA from 1 species
UUUACAUUUUAAUUUCUUUAUUAAAUAUAAUAUUAAUAAUUUAUAUUAAAUAUAAAAAUAUAUUUAUAAAAUAAAAAGACGACAAGACCCUAUUAAAUUUUACUUAUUGUUUAGCUGGGGCAGCUUUUUAAAUAAAAUUUUAAAUUAUUUAAAUUCAAAUAUAUAAUAUAAUAAAAAAUCUAAUAUAAUUAAAUUAAUCAAAUUACUAUAGGGAUAACAGCGUUAUAUUUUUUUCAAGUUCAUAUUUAAAAAAAUUAUUGCGACCUCGAUGUUGAAUUAUAUUUCUUUAUUAAUGCAACAAUUAUAAAAGUAGGUCUGUUCGACCUUUAAAAUAUUACAUGAUUUGAGUUCAAACCGGUGUAAACCAGGUUGGUUUCUAUCUUUUUUACAAUUUUUCUAGUACGAAAGGACAAAUAAAUUUUUAUUAUAAAAUUAAUUAGCAAAUUUAUGCAUUAGAUUUAGAUUCUAAAUAUUCUAUUU